rnacentral:rRNA from 1 species
UACGUAGGGUGCAAGCGUUGUCCGGAAUUAUUGGGCGUAAAGAGCUCGUAGGCGGCUUUGUCGCGUCUGCUGUGAAAACCUAAGGCUCAACCUUGGGCUUGCAGUGGGUACGGGCAGACUAGAGUGCGGUAGGGGUGACUGGAAUUCCUGGUGUAGCGGUGGAAUGCGCAGAUAUCAGGAGGAACACCGAUGGCGAAGGCAGG